CAAAGCGGCUAACAAAUCGGCUGCCGGCUAAACCGAAAUUUCUCGGGCUGUUUGCUAUCGCAACCGACUAAAUCUAGCCGGCAAACGGCUGGAAAGGCAACACUGUUGGCAAGUUACUAGAUAUUUCUUGCUGGAGGAUACGAAACACAACUUAUGUCUUACUAUGUACUGGAAUAAACUAAAAAAUAUUAAUAAUUAAUAACUCAGCACAAUAAAAAAGAUUACUGAUUGAUCAUUUUUCUGAACCAAAGUACUCUUGUGUAUACGUAGUACCGACUUUCUUUCAUUUCCGACGGAUGUAACCACUUUGUAAAAGCAUCGGUACGCUUACGAGCAGGAAUGGAAGGAAAAGUUUCGGCUAUUUAUGUAUUUGUAUCUAUGCUAUUAGUUCGUCGCUAACGCUUAGCAAAAGUAUAGAUUCGUCGGAUGAAAUAAUUAUAUCUAUACAAAGAUCAUUAAAUACAAAUAGCGUGAACCCUUGACAAACUUUGUUAAUGCUUGCAAAUUCGGAAAAGAAUAGUACAGCAUCACAGAGCUCUGAUAAUGGUA